rnacentral:rRNA from 1 species
AGGACGAACGCUGGCGGCGUGCCUAAUACGUGCAAGUCGAACGGUCUUUCUAUGGAAGCUUGCUUCCACUGAGAAGAUAGUGGCGAACGGGUGAGUAACACGUGGGGUAACCUGCCCAUAAGAGGGGGAUAACAUCCGGAAACGGGUGCUAAUACCGCAUAGUUUUCUUGAUCGCAUGAUCGGGAAAGGAAAGACGGCCUUUGUGCUGUCGCUUAUGGAUGGACCCGCGGCGUAUUAGUUAGUUGGUGAGGUAACGGCUCACCAAGACGAUGAUACGUAGCCGACCUGAGAGGGUGAUCGGCCACAUUGGGACUGAGACACGGCCCAAACUCCUACGGGAGGCAGCAGUAGGGAAUCUUCCGCAACGGACGAAAGUCUGACGGAGCAACGCCGCGUGAGUGAAGAAAGGUUUUCGGAUCGUAAAACUCUGUUGUCAGAGAAGAACAAGUUGGAGAGUAACUGCUCCAGCCUUGACGGUAUCUGACCAGAAAGCCACGGCUAACUACGUGCCAGCCGCGGC